GAGACUGGAACAGUGCCACAUCAGAUCUCUGUUGCUACCAUUUGAACGUGUCUCCUCCAAGUCUCAGAUGCUGCCAACGUAUUAGCAUAAGAGGUGACAAUAUCAUGAGGGCCUCUCCCCUUUAGCAUCAGCUACUUUACUGUUGCUAUAACAAAAUACCUGACAGAAGAGCUUAUGGAGGAAAGGGGUCGCAGUCCCUCAGGACAGGUAAGGCACACUUGGCUGCAGGAGGAGCACUGACAGCAGCAGCAGGAGGGAGAGAGGAAGGCACCGACUCUGGCCGGUCCAGGCGGGUCCUGAUGUCAUCGGACGAUGCUGCCGCUGGGUCCCUUAUCACGAGCAUGUAUGUGAACAUGCUUCUCCUCUCCCGUGUGCUCUUUACAUCAAAGUCAACACAGGUUUAGGGUCUCUUCUCAUGGCAGAAAGAGCCCACAUGUGACAGACACUUCAACUUCCAGACUGUGUCCCUGCCCUGCAGCCGCUGUCUUUGCUGCUGGUGUCAGGAAGGAACUGGACAGACGCCUAAAAUCUGAUCUUUCUGGAUCCUCCCAGACACACAAACAUCUACAGGAAGGCUGGAUAUGGGAUGCUGCUGCAGGUCUGUAACCCCAGCACUUGGGAGGCUGAGGCAAGAGGAUUCUGGGUCAUUUAGAGAAUAACCAGGAUAUGC
rnacentral:lncRNA from 1 species